rnacentral:rRNA from 1 species
UACGAAGGGGGCUAGCGUUGUUCGGAAUUACUGGGCGUAAAGCGCGCGCAGGCGGUCUUCCAAGUCAGUGGUGAAAGCCCGGAGCUCAACUCCGGAACUGCCAUUGAAACUGUUGGACUUGAGUAUGAGAGAGGUGAGUGGAAUUCCCAGUGUAGAGGUGAAAUGCGUAGAUAUCGGAAGGAACACCUGUGGCGAAAGCGGCUCACUGGACCAUUACUGACGCUGAUGCACGAAAGCUAGGGGAGCAAACAGG